rnacentral:lncRNA from 1 species
UGAAAAUAGAAAGCAUGAUUAAUAUAAAGAGAGUCCUAAUACAAAGAGUCACAUGUCAUAAUAUAAAAAUACAAAAAAAAUAUACAAAUAUACAGUCAAUCACUCGCCCCGACCCCUACCGGCCCCUCUACGACCUCUAGGUCCACGGGCUCUGCCUCCACGGCCUCUGCCUCCGCGCGCACCCUCUGCAGGAGCACCCUGUAAGACCCGAGUUUUUAAGUUUACGCUAAGUGAAUAAACUUCUUAUUCACGAUUAGGGUUGAUGUAAUGUGAAGGGAAACCUGAACGAAAGUUUAUUAAAUGAAAUAUAAUUAUGAAGGAGAAAGUUCAGGAAAAGUUCAAGGAUUGCAUUAUGAUCGAUAAAAGUUAUAGCACGAACGUUUUACGCUUAAACCUAGGUCAGAAACCCUAGUAUAUAGCUAAUUUUCACUUUUAGGCACGAUGGCAGUUAAUUCCAAAAAUCUUCAGAGAAAUGUUAGAAUUUCUCUUUUUCCAUAUAUCACAAUCGUUUCGAGGCGAAACUCUAGGAUCUACGAACGUCCGAUUCCAAUCAUCGGAAGUUUGCCGAAACCGAAUCCCUGGUAUUUCAAAACCCUAGAAUCACCCGACUUCGGGGACUUUAUCUAUUCAGAGCUUCAAAUGAAUAUUCUACACGCGUACACCCAUUUCUCUUGAUGAUUUCAAUCUUUCUUCCGAAGGAAGUUUUCUAUUCCGACAUUCGAGGCAAAAAGCAACUUAUCGGGUAAAAUAGUUUUACACCGACUUUGCACCGACUUUGCAUUAGUUGCCAAAAAUACAAGGAGACAUCUUCUUAGCUUAGGAAUUCCUUUGCCAAAACCUAUCUUAGAAUUCAUGGAGAAUGAUGCCGGAAAAAUCAGAUUCGCGAAACUUUCAUUUUCCCGCGAAUUUCCACCUUCUAUAUAUAGCAAAGAAAGGAAGAAAAAACCAAAAAAACUACCCAUUUUCCCCACCCAAACCCGCGGCCAAGAAGGAGAAGAAGGAGGAAGAGAUUUUCUUCAUCGUUUGCUUGAUCGUCGAUCAAUCAGUUGCUGCUUCAAGGUUUCGAGGUAUAGUCGCUAAUCCUUACCUCCGAUCGCUUUUUCCAUAGCUUUUCUGUAGAGUUUUCUGAGUGGAUAGUUUAUGGGUUUUUGCAAAACUAUCCUGAAUCUUUCAUUUCUGAUUCUAAACCUCUUCUAUGUGUGCCCAAGAUCACUUCUGCCGGAUUAGAUUUUCCGUUAUGUCGCCGGAAUUCCGUCGGAAUCAAUUCUAGCCUAAAAUACCCAUUUAUGUAGUUUUUGAGUAAAGUUCCAACCUUUAGGCUGAAAACUAUCGCCUUAGCUUAGUGCUAGUAGGAUUAGUUGUCAUAAACGUCGUUGGUGACGUCCCUGCAAAAUUUUAUUUUUGGGAUUUCAGUUUUGAAAAUCCUAAGUUAAAAAUCAUGACCAAAAUACCCCUGCGACAGUUUUUGAUCCGAUAAUUUUUCCGAGUUCAGAAUACCCUUAGUUACGGCUUAUGAAAGCAUAGGAACCAAGUUUGAUCGAAGAAAAAUCGAGCCCCAUAAUUAGCCAAAGUGGCCGAGCCUAUUAGAGGGGGGAGGAGGAAAUUUCCUUUUCCGAAAACUUGUCUUUUCGCGCUAGAUUAUCGUACCUUAGAGUAUAGAUUACUUCGAGUAACCUUAGUAAGUAUCGAUAGCUUAGUUUCCGAUAGAUUCUGAUAGUAUUCUGUGGUUUCAUUGUGAAGGUGCUUUUGAGGAUUACCCCGAGGACCAACACUUUGAGUGCGAGGAAGCACUAGUUAAUCAUUCUGGAGAACUUUCAGGUGAGGGCUUCUCACUGAAUCUCUAGUUAAUGCUUAGGGUCGAUGUUUCGACAUUGUUUACUGUUUAUGCACUGGAAUUGUGUGUGAUUGAAAAUGUUUUCUGAGGCUUCGACUGACAAUGUAGAUGAUUCAUCUACUGAAUGUUUUUGAAGAUUGACUUACAUGCUACGUGCUAUGUGGGUAAUCUAGGAUGUGUGGUGCAUGCUUUAUAUGCUAAGUGUUAAGUGUUUAUGAUGCGAUUUAUUGAUAUAUGACAUGUUGUUGAUUGUGAUGAUUUAAAUAUGCUCUGUACUGGAAUCUGAGAUUCUGAAUGGUGAGAAUAGCGGGCAGGUCAUGCCGAUUUUAUUUUGAGAGUUUUGAGAAAGUUUGAUAGGACGAACGAGGUUCGGGCCUUGAUUUUGUUUAGUGGAUCGAGACAUCCUCUGGAAGCGACUUGGGAUUGGUAGAUACUGUAAAUGUAUAAGACUUGCGAUAAGACAAAAUGGAAUCUAUUUUAUAAAGAAAAUUCAUAAGACCUUAAAUAACCUCAAAAUCUUUAAGUAAUGAUAACAACCUCGAAGGAAGGCAUUGGAAGUGAAAUCUUAAUUCUGGAAAACGAGGAGUGUCGUCGGAUCCAAGUGUUGAGUAUGUCGUUGUUGUGCUGUUGGAGCAGCGUUUGAUGUCGUGCUGUUGGAGCAGCGUUGGUCGUUGUGCUGUUGGAGCAGCUAUGUUGUUGGGCUAUCCUGGGGAUAAGUCCGGGGAAUUGAUAGUUCCCGAGUAUGUGAUACUCUUGUGCUGUUGGAGCAGCUAUGUGUGUUGUGAAGUGUGUCUUUUGUCGCAGAAUCGACUUUGCCUUAGGGUAAGAUUUUAGAGACUUUAAUUUACCAAGAACACGUGGCGACGUGUCGAGUGAGGACGGAGACGUUGUUUGACUAAUCAUCCUGCAUUCAUGCAACAUUAAUGGGGUAUUAACACAGGACGUACUCUGGACCUCGUCGGAUUCCAAAAUGGUCAUAAGACCCGGAUUUCCGUGAUAGAGCGUCUGUAGACGUCUCUUGUAGCAGACCGAAAUGGCAGACCUACGGGUUACGGCUGAUCUGACUACCGUUGUUGUUGGUGUAAGAGGCACGCGGGCCGAAAUGGCACCACCGUGGCUGGUGAAGGGCUGAUCCGUUGAUGUCCAUCCGUUCCGGAUUGCAUAUUGGUUGACUGGGUUAACCUGCAUACAUAUCACGCAACAUGCAUACUGACUUAGUUGAUGAGUGUGGUUGCUAUUUGAUAAACUUACUUGGAACAUGCUAAUUGUUAUUAUUGUCGUUAUGAUUUUGUGGAACAUGCAACCCUAGGAAUGAUAUCUCUAGUUAUAAGCCUAAGUGGCUAUCUAUUAUUUGUACCUAUUGGGUUUAUUAUCUACAUAGUUCUUUAGAGUUGACCCUCGCGUCUUCUGUGUGUGUUUUGGCGGACAACGCCUUUUGUCAGAUGAAUAUUGCGGACCGGUACACCAUGGUCCACCCUUCGGGGGGGAUUAGGUAUGAGAUGAUCGAUCAGGACGACCCCGGGUCGUGGGUGGUUGACCCCGCGAGCCACCGAGCGACGUAUUCGGGGCGUAUCAUGGAGGAUCACGUGGACAGUGGAGGACUCUUGAGGUCAGGAGUGUUGAGGCGAUGCUCUAUCAGCUUCAACUUGCCACCGGGCGUUCAUUGUGGACCAGGACUUGGAGGACCACCACCACCACCAUUGUCUUCAGACGAGGAGGAUCCCUCAGAGGAGAUUCCAGUGGGAGUGCCUUCGGCAGGGUCUAGUGCACCCACCGUUGCGAUCAUCGAUGAUCAGGGUUCGGGCCCUAAGCCCGUGAGUCCAGCAUCGGAGCGCACUGCGGUUGCGAGGGGAGGACGAAUAGGGUUAGUAGACUUGGUCGUUCUGGAUUCUGAUUCAGACGACAAUCAUGCUAGCACAUAGUUUUGAGUGUUGGUAUGAGCUCCUCGAGUUAGGAUUAGUGUAGGAGUAGAGCUUUAGCUCUGACAGUCUUGCUUCAUUUGUUACUUAGGGGACAGGGUAGAUCCGCCUAUAGCUUUUUGUGUGGUUUCCUUACGGGAAUCACAGAGAGUUGGUUGGACUUAGGAAGUCUUAUUUUCAGGCCAUUGGGUCAGCUGAUUCUCAGUUUUGAGGGAUGGUGUUGCGGGCACUUCACCCUUUUCAUUUGGUUUGUAUAUAUUGCCUACGGGCGUUGUACUUUUCUUUCCGUCACUGGAGGUUUACUCGUGACGAGGUUACUACUACAGCGGGGGCUGUUUAUAUAUUGUAUAUUAGUUCUGAUUUUGUUAUUGUUGGGUUUUAUUUAAUUCAGUCUUGUCUUAGUUAUUAUUAAAAAAAAAAUAUUCACGUUUUUCCGCAUUAAGUUUAUUUUGGUUACUAAAGUGACGCUACCGAAAUCGGGGUGUUACACACCCUCUGCAGGAGCACCCUCUCCACGGGCUCUGCCUCCACGACCUCUGCCUCCACGCGCUCUGUCUCCACGACCUCUGCCUCCUGUAGCUCUAGCUCCUCGGACAGCAGCAAAGGCUACCCCCUGGGUACCAAUGAAGGCAUUGGAUCUAAUAAGAUCCAGCGCCCUCUCAGUGAGGGAUCGGGAAUGCGUGCCCUCUGCAGGAGCAUCUGGCACCUCGAGUGACUGCUCCAACAAGUCCACGACCCGACGCAUAACAGUCUGCAAAAAUAAUGUAGAUAUAUUAGAUACAAAUAAAAUAUCAUGAACAAAAAAUCACAAUUGAAUGGAAAAUAAAAUUCAAACUUACCACCGCACUGAACUCCUCCCUCCUAUCAUCAGGGAUGAUGAACCGAUGGGACACAGCGCUGUACCACCUCAUGUAAUCCUCCACAGCCUCUCCCGGAUAUGUAGCGGGGAUCCCCUGAGGGCGGAGGUGCGGCGCAAACUCAGCAAAG